rnacentral:rRNA from 1 species
GAUGAACGCUGGCGGCGUGCCUAAUACAUGCAAGUCGAGCGAACAGACGAGGAGCUUGCUCCUCUGACGUUAGCGGCGGACGGGUGAGUAACACGUGGAUAACCUACCUAUAAGACUGGGAUAACUUCGGGAAACCGGAGCUAAUACCGGAUAAUAUAUUGAACCGCAUGGUUCAAUAGUGAAAUACGGUUUUGCUGUCACUUAUAGAUGGAUCCGCGCCGCAUUAGCUAGUUGGUAAGGUAACGGCUUACCAAGGCAACGAUGCGUAGCCGACCUGAGAGGGUGAUCGGCCACACUGGAACUGGGACACGGUCCAGACUCCUACGAGAGGCAGCAGUAGGGAAUCUUCCGCAAUGGGCGAAAGCCUGACGGAGCAACGCCGCGUGAGUGAUGAAGGUCUUCGGAUCGUAAAACUCUGUUAUUAGGGAAGAACAAAUGUGUAAGUAACUAUGCACGUCUCGACGGUACCUAAUCAGAAAGCCACGGCUAACUACGUG